UUUGCCUACGGGACGCAGCAGUGAGGAAUAUUGGUCAAUGGGAGAGAUCCUGAACCAGCCAAGCCGCGUGAGGGAAGACGGCCCUAUGGGUUGUAAACCUCUUUUGUCGGAGAACAAAACCCGGGACGAGUCCCGGACUGCGUGUAUCCGAAGAAAAAGCAUCGGCUAACUACGUGCCAGCAGCCGCGGUAAUACGUAGGGGGCAAGCGUUAUCCGGAUUUACUGGGUGUAAAGGGAGCGUAGACGGCAGCGCAAGUCUGGAGUGAAAUGCCGGGGCUCAACCCCGGAACUGCUUUGGCAACUGU
rnacentral:rRNA from 1 species